UCCCUGGUGGCUCAGAUGGUAAAGCAUCUGCCUGCAAUGCAGGAGACCCGGGUUUGAUCCCUGGGUCGGGAA
rfam:Ovis aries breed Texel chromosome 5, whole genome shotgun sequence.